rnacentral:lncRNA from 1 species
AAACAAUUAGAGCAGUUAAACAAGGAUAAUACGGCUUCACUAAAAAAGAAGGAACUCACAGUUAAAGAUGUGGAAUGUAAAUUCUCCAAAAUGAAAACUGCUUAUGAAGAGGUUACAACUGAAUUAGAAGAAUAUAAGGAAGCCUUUGCAGUAGCAUUGAAAGCUAACAAUUCCAUCUCAGAAAAAAUAAUGAAAUCAGAUAAGAAAAUAGCAGUGAUCAGCACCAAGCUCCUUAUGGAGAAAGAACGGAUGAUAUUUUCUCAGCACUCUUCCUAUGAGGCCAGACCCAGAGUUACCUUGUGUUGAAAAUCUUAAUAGUAUAGGACUCAACAGAAAAUAUAUUCCCAAAAUGCCCCUAAGAAUUCCUACUUCAAACCCACAGACUUCAAAUAACUGCAAGAACUCCUUGACUGAGAUGGAGCCGGACUGUGUAGAACAAAUAAUUACAGAAACAAAGAAAACUUUUGCUGUGUUGAACACUUGCUCCCAUCUCCUUUCUUCUCUAGAAUCCACUGCCCUAGAAUGAGUAAUUUUUCUUAUAAGCAGAGUUGGAGCCACUGAGGAAGCACAGGAGAGCCCUCCCCAGCACGCGCUCACUAGUCCCCAACAGAAGAACCGCUGCCCCAUCCACUGAGGCUCCCGUUGUGGUGGGUUGUGUCACCCCACGAUGUCACUCUUUCUGAGUCCCCAUCGCCUCUGUGUUGUGGAGCACUUAGAGACACACAGCAGUCUCUGUGAGUGGCUCUGCGUUAAGGAUUGUUUUCUAGGUGAAAGGCGCAUCUCAACACUGAUCAGACUCAGCAAUUCCAUUCUGCAUCUCCUCUGGACACUCCCAGGACCACCAGGACAACCCCAUCACGGCCCUGUCACCAGGCCCAGUCUGGCUCCAUGAUAACCAAGACGCAGGUCCAGAGACAACCGCCCUGCACGGUGCCUGCAUCUGACCCCCUUGGUGGGUAGUGACCAGCACAACAUGGAAGAAGCCAGGGCAGCAGGCAGCCAGCUGCCCUGCAGCCCCAGAUGGCACCUGGGCCUUGGGAAGUCAUUCUUAAAGGGGAAGCUGGAAACUUUGAUGUCCCCGGAGGAAAAGGUGAACGUGGCAUCCGAACAACCCUGGCAGCCAGCAGCAUCUUCUCAUCCAACCUGUGGGACAGAGGCCCCCUGCUGGGGAACAAAGAUCCAUACUUAAAGGGUCCUGGCCCAGUCAAGCCUCAUCCUGGGCCCUGGGACGGGAGGGGCACUAUGGGCCCCCCAGCAGCAGUCAGGAUUACCACCCAGGGGACUCAGCCUUCUGUGGCCCUGGCCAGAGUUAG